ensembl:lncRNA
CUAGUAACAGCCGUCUCCCAAGCUCACUUGGCCUGAGACGGUCAACAGCGAACAUGCUGAGCUGCUUCUCCACUUCGAGAGGCCGUAGCCUCAGGACCCCAGGUAGAGAAAGUAUCUGUGAAAGACUAAGAAGAGGCUGGCUCCAUCCAGACACCGCAUGACUGUCCCAGAAACCCCAGGGACGGUCUCCCUGGGAGUGACCACCAGUGACCUACCAAAAUCAAGGGAUCGAACUCAGGACCUUGCGCUUGUGAGGCAUGCGGCCAUAACACAUCUUAAUUUUUUUCACUUCCUUUCCCUCUCCUCCAUCCUCCUCUACCUCUUGGUCCCCUUCCCAUUUGAGAAGAAUCUCUCUCACUUCCUAUUAUUUUUUAUUUUGCUCUUUCUUUAUAAUUUGUGUUUUUCAUAUACAUUAAACCAUGC